rnacentral:rRNA from 1 species
UACGUAGGGUGCAAGCGUUAAUCGGAAUUACUGGGCGUAAAGCGUGCGCAGGCGGCUUUGCAAGACAGAUGUGAAAUCCCCGGGCUUAACCUGGGAACUGCAUUUGUGACUGCAUGGCUGGAGUGCGGCAGAGGGGGAUGGAAUUCCGCGUGUAGCAGUGAAAUGCGUAGAUAUGCGGAGGAACACCGAUGGCGAAGGCAGCCCUCCGGCGUCGACACUGACGCUCAGACGAAAGCGUGGGGAGCAAACAGG